rnacentral:lncRNA from 1 species
AGGAGGAGAGAGCCUGGGAAACUGAAUCUUGAGUGAAGUGGAGCAUAGCUGAGAUCCCUAUGAAGCAGAAAACAGUUUCCACAGAGAAAGCUCUCUUCCUGAUGAUUCUAUCCUAAAGAAGAACAAUAGAAAAGGGAAGAAAAAUACUUUCUGCCAACCUAAGCUUUAAUUUUAAAAAGUGAAUGUUGAUGAAGCAAGCAAAACCAGAAAACAUUGUAGACAGCAACAAGAAGAUUGGGUGGAUGAUCAAUUAUGAUGAGAUUUGGUUCUUCUGGGAAAUUCCAGUGAUCCAAAGCAAUUCUAAUAAAUUCGGGAUGGAAUUCAGAGAGAAAACUUUGGAGACUGAAUGUGGAUCAAUGCAUCUAUUUUCACCCUUUUCUUUUUUGUUUUUUUUUUCCCUCAAGGGUUUUCCCUAUUGUUCUGAUUGUUUUCUCCCAACAUGACUCAUAUGGAAAUAUGCAAAACAAUGAAUGUACAUGUAUAAGCUAAAACAAAUUAAAAAUAUUUAAAGAAUAAAAUUAAAAAGCAGAUGUUGAAAACUAUCUUUACAUGAAAUUGGGA